rnacentral:rRNA from 1 species
GAUGAACGCUGGCGGCGUGCUUAACACAUGCAAGUCGAACGGAAAGGCCACAGCUUGCUGUGGUACUCGAGUGGCGAACGGGUGAGUAACACGUGGGUGAUCUGCCCUGUACUUCGGGAUAAGCUUGGGAAACUGGGGCUAAUACCGGAUAGGAAUCACAUGUGGGUGUGGGGUUGGGAAGCUUUUGCGGUAUGGGGUGGGCUCGCGGCCUAUCAGCUUGUUGGGGGGGUUAUGGCCUACCAAGGGGUCGGCGGGUUUCCGGCCCUGGAGGGGGUACGGGCACCAUGGGACUGGGGUUCCGCCCCGAAUCCUACCGGGGGCAGCAGUGGGGAAUUUUGCACAAUGGGCGGAAGCCUGGAGCAGGCACGCCGCGUGGGGGAUGACGGCCUUCGGGUUGUAAACUCCUUUCGUCAGGGACGAAGCGAAAGUGACGGUACCUGGAUAAGAAGCACCGGCUAACUACGUG